rnacentral:misc_RNA from 1 species
UUGCGGCUGGAUCACCUCCUUUCUAAGGAGCACCGAUUCGAUUCCCCCACCCCCGCAAGAGUGCGGGAUCGGUUGUGGUUGGGAGAUUGGGGCCCGUGCCUGUAGUGGGCCGGGUGGGGUGCGCGACAGACAGUGCGCCGGUGCGGGGAUGGGCCGGUGGGAUCGCCAGACACGCUAUUGGGCUUUGAGACAACACGCCGGUGUUGUUGCCUCAUCUUUGGUGGUGGGGUGUGGUGUUUGAGUUGUGGAUAGUGGUUGCGAGCAUCUGACAGAGACCCUCUUUUUUGGUGGGGGGUUUUUGUUGGGUAAUGCAAAUUUUUUUUCUUCUGUAAUUGUGUUUGUGUGUAAGUGUGUAAGGGCGCAUGGUGGAUGCCUUGGC